CUUCUUGUUCUUCAAGGAUUUGGCUGAGCUGAGACUAAGGCAACGAGCUUGCACCACGGCAGCACAGUAGACACACUUCACUGCAUUUUACUGAUGUCAUAUGGGGGCUAUUUCUUCGUCAAUCUGAGUCAGGCCUGCAUUACACAGACCGUGGUUAGGCUUGAAGAAACGGCCUCAAACAGCGGAUUCUGUCACUGAGAGCCUCAGAUUCCUCUGCCGGAAACCGAUGAGGAGUAUAUUGCCUCUCUUGAACGCGCAGGAUGGAGGACAUUUACCAUGGCAACCACUAAUGCAGUAUAGAUGCAAGGACUGAGCCUUGUCUGCCACUGCAAUAAUACAAGAUUCAUUGAAGCCAGGGUGAAAUGUCAUCGGGGCUGUCGUUUUAAAUUACCCAGAAUUGCAUUUGAUGUCUGCACUUUUGUCAAUGGAAAAUCUCACUUGCAAUGGAUAGAAGGGUAUUUUACCCUGUAUUUGCUAAAUUUUGCAACAUACCCUGCCUUAGUGCCUCUGUAUACAGUAGAGUGUAAUGUAUCAUGCACUAAAGAACCACUUCAUCUCUCUUGUUUUUCAAUUCAGCAGUAUUGUCGGUCAUAUUGUUUCCCACAUCUCCCAUCCACAUAAUCCGUCCUUUGGCAGAGUCAAAUCCGAUUUUUACACUGUUCCCCCCUGCACACUUCUAAAAUGUGAUUUUGGUAUCAUCCUCCUUCACACGCUGGAUUACAACUGGACCUCUUUCAAAAGUAGCACCUAAGUGAUGGGCACUCACCUUGGAAGGAAGCCAAGUUUAGCCUGUUUUUUACUGUUCAACAUUCAGGUUCUGAUUAAUUGGAGCUGGAGGUAGCUCACAAAAGCCACUAAACGGAUAGAAUAAGAGGGACUUUGCGAAAAACAACAUAAUAACAUACCGGUAUGUCAAAAGCAAGAAAAAGGUGAGGAAAUUUGACAAAUUUAUAUUUUCCUUAUUGGAUGGUUGAAUUAUUUUCAAUGUUUAAACAUACCCAGUAGAAUAAAAUAGUUGUUGAUUUAAGCCAGGAGUGUCCACACUAAGAUAUGCUAACAAGUUAUAUUCAGGUGAUUGAAGGCCUGAUCUACUAAAGGUUUCCGUGUAUCAAAACAAGUGCAAACUUGAUAUCAUACGCAAAGCCGAUUUACUAAACUUGCGCGCAGAGGAUUGUGUCUCUUAAGUGAGCAAAAUAAGGUGUGCAAUCCAUUUAGCAUGUCUGUCUUCAUGAAUAAGCAGAAAAUAUUCUGAUCAUCAGAACACCCACAAUAUAAGGGGAAGGAGUUGCAAAUAUUAACAUUAAACACGUGCAAUGUGAUUAAUCAAGGCUGAUCACUGUUCUGCGGGUGCUAUCUUGCGUCUUUAUUUAGCACGUCUGAAAAGUAUGUGCAAACAGACAUAGUUACACACAUGGCUGUGAGAAAAGAGUUGCUCGUGCUGCAAAGACAGACCACGGACAGACAUGUUUGGACUCCCAUAAAAAAUAAAAAAAAUAGAUAUUGUCUAUUAAGCAAUAUAAUUUUAUAAGUUAACCGCUGCUGGAUGACUUAAGGGGUUGAUUAAAACAAAUUCAAUUGAUGCAUUUUGGUGUCUGCUGGCAGUUUUUUUUAAUACUGUUUGUUUUUAGGGGGGGAAAUAUAUUAUUAUAAUAUACCCCCUGUAUGAAAAUAUGUCGUUCAAUAAGAAUGUUUUUUUUUUGGAUAAUUCUAGACAGAUGCAUGCGCUGGAGUUGUUAUGGUCCACCGCAUCCCUGCAGCACUUCAGCGCGCUAAAACAGUUUUUGUUGUCUGUAGAUUGUGAUUCUAUAUUACGGAAAAGGUGUUACAGAUUAUAGAUGUGUGCUGUUAAUUCAACAGUGCAUUGAGAGAUCAAUAAAAUGAACGUGGCGAGGGCACAUAAUGCCAGUAUUACACGCAAAAACCUCAUUUAAAUAGGGGGGUCUGCAACACUUUUCAUUUGUACACACAGUCUUAAUAGAUCACACGCAACCCACAACACUAAUAGUACACGCAAUUUUUAAGUUUGCACACUCUGUUUAGCGCGUGGUAUCCUGGAUCUUAGUAAGUCAAGCCCAAAGUGUAUUUCUAUCAACAUUUUUGGGCCAAAUCGAUGCCCUUUGCUUGUUGAAGGGGCUGUUUGCAGGGCGUUAACAUUCUAAAGUGUUGUAAGCAUGAUAUCCCGUCUUUUACAACGUAAAUCACGCCUCAUGUAACACACACACACACAAACAUUAGCUAUGUGUGUUGUCAGCUAAUGAUAACAAUUUGACAAGGCUACUAUUGUUAGCCGUCAUUGAAUGUAUAUUCCAGUGUAACAAUAACGUGACUCCAAAUUGGUUAUUGUUUUGCUUUUUGGUAUUUGCACUAGGGCUGCAGCUAUUGAUUAUUUGGUAACACUUUAGUAUGUGGAACAUAGUCACCAUUAAUUAGUUCCUUAUUAACAUGCAAAUUAGUAACAUAUUGGCUCUUAAUUAGUCAUUAUUAAGUACUUAUUAAUGCCUUACACUAACCCUAACCCUCUAACCCCUAACCCUCUAAACCUAACCCUAACUCUAAAUGAAGUCUGUGUUACCUACAAUAUGUUCCCCUAGUGUCCAAAUAACUCUCAAUUGAGCAUUUGUUACUUAGAAUAUGUUCCCCAUACUAAAGUGCUACCGAUUAUUUUAGUAAUCAAAUAAUUGAUCGAUUAGUUUGUCUGAUUAAUUGAGCAAUCAGAUAAAACACUUUAUAGCCUCAAUGCACAUUUUAGGUAAAAUAGUUGAUGAUUUUCUGUUCAUUCUUUUUCUUUCUUAUAAAUUAUAAAACACUGAAAAUGCAAUUUUCUAAUAUGUGCAUUGGUAAAUAUAAUAACUAAAAACUCUGUUGUUCACCACCACACAGAUCACAGCACAGCACCCACACCCACCAUCAUGUGCGUUCAAUUGUAGUGGCCGUGCGGAAAUUAUUUAUGCAUAUUUAAAGUUCUGCAACCCAUGUGGUCGGAUUUUAUCAAUUCUUAUUACUUGCGCUGAUUAAACAAUAAAUCAAAACAACAGAUUAUCAAUCAAAGCUUUUUUCUAAUAAUCAAAUGAAUCGAUUAAUCAUUUCAGCUUUAAUGUGCAAGCACUGCGGGUGUGUACGGGUGUACGAGACAGUGCUAAAUGACAGCCUUAAUGACAGACAAAUCCUUCAGGAAGAAGAAAACAGUUUUUAUUUAUUAUAAGUAGUCAUUGUGGAAAAAUACAGACAUUUCUAAAAUAUGUAUAUGUUCUAUGAAUGUGUAUUGGCCUAUCCUGGGCAAAAAAAAAAAUUGUACAAGGUUUCUUUGGUGACGUGACUCAUUUGAGUAACAGGACUGAAGGUAACAGGAGUGAGUUUUUAGCAUAGCAUUAGCAAAUACAUGGAAUAUAGCCACGUGGCAUUUAUGCUAACAGCACGUUGAUGCUAAGCGCAUGACAGUGAUUCAGAAAAAAAAAGAAGAAAAAAAACAUUUAAAAAAAUAAUACAUUAAAUAUUAGCUAGAAAUGCAGUCAUCCCUGCCCACAUUACGCUUCAAAGUUUGCGCAUUACUCUAUCGUACAUUUUUUAAAGUAUAUUCUAUGUAUUUUUUGCCGAAAUUGAGCGUUUUCAAGCAUAAAAAUGGCUGAAUGAACUAAAAGUAUCAGUACUACAGUAGCAUUGCCACUAGAUGAGACGAAUUCGAUCAGAGUGCGUUGUUCCACUGAUUGGCUCAGCCUCAGGCAACAUUACUGUACUGGAUUAAAUUAGUGUAAAGGUGACUAAAGGGUGUUAUUUAAUGUGUACAGGGCUCUCAAAAUGAUUAAAAAAAAACAUAUUAAAAAGGUGGUAAAAAAUAGCGAUGAAAAUAUGCUAUUUGUAGUUAAUAAUUUCUACAUGGUGGAAAUGUAUUUGACACGUUCAAGCCCUCAAGCAAUUAAAAAGCGAUGACCAAGAGUUUACUGUAAAGAUAUAUGGAAUAACACAACUAUGUUAAAAAAACAAAACAUUUCUGAAGGAUUCCAAUUGUUAUAUUUUAUCGUGAAGUUUAAUUUUACUGCUUGCAGGCAACAAAAGCUAGUUUUCCAGCGUUUAGGGUAGUUAAAUUUAAUCUUUAAAUUGUAUUUACUAAAUAAGCAGUCCGAUCAAAGUGCAGAACACUUUUCUUCAUUAAAAAAUGUUUUAUGCUAUAAUGCCUUAUACAUUUUAUUUGCUAAAAAGCACCAAUUCAGUGGAAUGGCCUUUCUACAUGUUCUCAUUACUUUAGGCCUUUUUUUUCCCACCUUUUUUGCUGUUUUUAAUUUUAGAAUGUGCCAUGAUCCAAUAAUGGUUGCACUUUGGACACCCCUAAUUUAAGAUCGCUUACCAAUACAAUCCAAUACAGUCCACUAUAAAAUUAUAUAGCACAUUUCAAAAAUAAAAAAAAGUUUCACAAAGUGCUGAACAUACAAAAUUAGUGAAAUCUAAUUUAUUUAUUUUUUAAUCAGAAUAAUCUUACUUUUGAAUUUGUUUUUAUCAUUAUUAAUCACAGGUUAUUAUUUGCUUGCAACAUCUAAAUUAACUUAAAAAAGAGCCCAAAAUGCUAUUUUAUUGUCAGAAUGUCAUAAAUAAACACUUUUUUAAGUUUUACUAAAAUGCAUGUCAUGUAUUUGCUCACAGCUUGAUAACAGUUGUAUCUAAAUUCCCAUCGGGGUUUAUUUUGAAGUGAAAUUUGCCAGCGAGCACAACAGUGGGAGUCUUCUCAUUCAUAUUCGCAAUGUAAACAUCCACAUUUAAAGUAAAGCAGCUCGUGUGGUUGAAACGAAUGGUGUGAUUAAGCUGCACAUAUACAUGAUUAAUGCAAUAUUUUUUUUGUGGUUAAUCGCAUGAGUCAACUUACAUUUGCAUUUGGUCCCAUUUGUCUAAAAAGCCUUUGUAGAAGCAUCUUUCAAAUUGUUUUAACAAGUUGAGCCAUUUAUAUUGUGCAUCCAUUGUUUAGCCAUUAUCAAGAAGGCUGCAAUCCUUUGCAGGAGUGUCAGUCCAAAACAAACAUUCCUUCAAAGAUGUUCUGACCUGCUGCUACAGUUGUUCUAUGUAAGUGUGUGUGCGUGUGUGUGUAAGUGUGUUUUGUCUGCCCCCAUCUAUAGCUGUGUCCAGCCCCUCUCUUUCACAGUUAGAGAAAAGAACCACACUCCUUGGGGCCUUAGUUUGCUGCAUACGUGUGUAGUGUUCCACUCUCUUGGGAUUUCUUUUAGCCAUAUUCGUGCUUGCAUGAAGCUAUUUGUGACAGCCAUCAUUAUACCGUGCAUGCAGUACAUCUGUAAAAGAGAAGUUCUAUAAACAGCGUCAAAGAAAAUGCAUUAUGUUAUACAAAUACACCCUCAUACUUCUAUAUAUUCUCUGCCUCUUUACAUAUGGAGGUAUAGCACAGAACAAAAAAGCCCAAAACCCCUAACUCUAACCCCAAACUUAACCUUACCCUACCCGCAACUGAAAAUGUGAAGCAGAAGAAAACUUGUAUUUCUUUGUCUUUGGUAAUAUUUGUUCAUUCAUCAGUUUUUCUUCGGUUAAUACUCAAUGAUGUUGGAUGAGACGGUCUAUUGGCUCACUGUUAUAUCCUAAAGGUGUUAGACGGGGUCUCAUCCAAGGAUUUGAUUCGAGCAUUAGGGCCACGGAACACAUAAGGGCCUUCUCAAAAUGUUUACCCAAAUUGUCAUAAUAAUAAGAUUCAUACUGUAAUUACUUACCUCGUUUGCUUUUCCAACAGACUUAAGAUUCCCUUGCCCCUGUUGAGGAGCAAUGCUGGACUUCCG